rnacentral:rRNA from 1 species
GAUGAACGCUGACAGAAUGCUUAACACAUGCAAGUCUUUGGCGAAGCUGUGCUUGCACAGCCUAGCCAAGGCGGACGGGUGAGUAACGCGUAAGGAACUUGCCCUGCAGUCAGGGAUAACAGACGGAAACGACUGAUAAGACCUGGUAAAGUCAGGCGGACUCAUGUCCAGCCUGAUGAAAAGAGAUGCUGCAGGAGAGCCUUGCGUCCUAUUAGCUUGUUGGUGGGGUAACGGCCCACCAAGGCGAUGAUAGGUGGCCGGCCUGAGAGGGUGGACGGCCACAAGGGGACUGAGAUCCGGCCCUUACUCCUACGGGAGGCAGCAGUGGGGAAUAUUGGACAAUGGGGGCAACCCUGAUCCAGCAAUUCUGUGUGCACGAUGAAGGUUUUCGGAUUGUAAAGUGCUUUCAGCAGGGAAGAAAAAAAUGACGGUACCUGCAGAAGAAGCGACGGCUAAAUACGUG